UACGCAGGGUGCAAGCGUUACUCGGAAUUACUGGGCGUAAAGCGUGCGUAGGUGGUUUGUUAAGUCUGAUGUGAAAGCCCUGGGCUCAACCUGGGAAUGGCAUUGGAUACUGGCGAGCUAGAGUGCGGUAGAGGGUAGUGGAAUUCCCGGUGUAGCAGUGAAAUGCGUAGAGAUCGGGAGGAACAUCUGUGGCGAAGGCGAGUCCCUGGACAACUCCUGACACUGAGGCACGAAAGCUAGGGGAGCAAACAGG
rnacentral:rRNA from 1 species